rnacentral:lncRNA from 1 species
CAAAUACUCAGUAGUUAAUGCAGCUAGUGGUUGCAGCGCUGAAUGUCACAGCUCUAGAUUAUUGUUCAGGAUUUCAGAGAAAGUUUCUCCAUCAUGCUGGAGACACAUUUCUUCUGCAAUGUAUUUGCAAAUCCUUUUUAAGGCAUUGUACCGGUUUUGAGGACAAAACGGAAGACAGUCUGUACUCUCAAUUCUUUCUGAGAGAAACACAUGAAUUCCCAGUUCCAAAGAAGAAGAAAGGAAUUCCUAAGUGAUAUAGGAUAAUUUUAUAACUGAAGCAUCAUCAGUUUUCUUGUUAAUGAUUUUCUUCAUUGCUAUGAACUGAAUUAUAUCCGUC